GUUAAGAAUCUUGCGCAAUGGGCGAAAGCUUGACGCAGCGACGCCGCGUGGACGAUGAAGGCCUUCGGGUUGUAAAGUCCAAUAAGCAGGGAAGAAUAAGCAACGGGUAAUAUUCGUUGUGAUGACGGUACCUGCCUAAAGCCCCGGCUAACUACGUGCCAGCAGCCGCGGUAAUACGUAUGGGGCGAGCGUUGUUCGGAAUUAUUGGGCGUAAAGGGCGUCUAGGCGGGGGAUUAAGUUAGGUGUGAAAUCCCUGGGCUCAACCCAGGAACUGCAUCUAAAACUGGUUCUCUUGAGUUCGGGAGAGGAGAGCGGAAUUCCCGGUGUAGCGGUGAAAUGCGUAGAUAUCGGGAAGAACACCAGUGGCGAAGGCGGCUCUCUGGCCUAGAACUGACGCUGAAGCGCGAAAGCGUGGGGAGCGAACGGGAUUAGAAACCCCAGUAGUCC
rnacentral:rRNA from 1 species